rnacentral:tRNA from 1 species
GCCUGGGUGGCUCAGUCGGUUGGGCAACUGACUUCCACUCAGGGCACGAUCUCGAGGUCCGUGAGUUCGAGCCCCACAUUGGGCU